AGAGUUUGAUCCUGGCUCAGGAUGAACGCUAGCGACAGGCCUAACACAUGCAAGUCGAGGGGCAGCAUGGUAUCAGCUUGCUGAUACCGAUGGCGACCGGCGCACGGGUGAGUAACGCGUAUGUAAUCUACCUGUAACAGAGGGAUAACCCGGAGAAAUCCGGACUAAUACCUCAUAGCACAUAUUAUUCGCAUGAGUUUUAUGUUAAAGAGACUCGGUUACAGAUGAACAUGCGUUCCAUUAGCUGGUUGGCGGGGUAACGGCCCACCAAGGCAACGAUGGAUAGGGGUUCUGAGAGGAAGGUCCCCCACACUGGUACUGAGACACGGACCAGACUCCUACGGGAGGCAGCAGUGAGGAAUAUUGGUCAAUGGACGCAAGUCUGAACCAGCCAUGCCGCGUGCAGGAAGACGGCUCUAUGAGUUGUAAACUGCUUUUGUACGAGGGUAAACUCACCUACGUGUAGGUGACUGAAAGUAUCGUACGAAUAAGGAUCGGCUAACUCCGUGCCAGCAGCCGCGGUAAUACGGAGGAUUCAAGCGUUAUCCGGAUUUAUUGGGUUUAAAGGGUGCGUAGGCGGUUUGAUAAGUUAGAGGUGAAAUCCCGGGGCUUAACUCCGGAACUGCCUCUAAUACUGUUAGACUAGAGAGUAGUUGCGGUAGGCGGAAUGUAUGGUGUAGCGGUGAAAUGCUUAGAGAUCAUACAGAACACCGAUUGCGAAGGCAGCUUACCAAACUAUAUCUGACGUUGAGGCACGAAAGCGUGGGGAGCAAACAGGAUUAGAUACCCUGGUAGUCCACGCAGUAAACGAUGAUAACUCGUUGUCGGCGAUACACAGUCGGUGACUAAGCGAAAGCGAUAAGUUAUCCACCUGGGGAGUACGUUCGCAAGAAUGAAACUCAAAGGAAUUGACGGGGGCCCGCACAAGCGGAGGAACAUGUGGUUUAAUUCGAUGAUACGCGAGGAACCUUACCCGGGCUUGAAAGUUACUGACGAUUCUGGAAACAGGAUUUCCCUUCGGGGCAGGAAACUAGGUGCUGCAUGGUUGUCGUCAGCUCGUGCCGUGAGGUGUCGGGUUAAGUCCCAUAACGAGCGCAACCCCUACCGUUAGUUGCCAUCAGGUCAAGCUGGGCACUCUGGCGGGACUGCCGGUGUAAGCCGAGAGGAAGGUGGCCAGCGUCAUUCCCCGAUAUUCCACGUCCUCCACUUUCAAAUACCCACUUGCCACAAGCAGACUCCAUAUUGCACUUUCAUCCUGCUCUAACUGGCUGAAUACAACCUGCUCAUCAAAGCUGACAGUAAUCAGUUCUCCAUUUAAAAGCCUUUCCAUCUGCUUUUUCAUGUCAGCCGAAGCCGUCUGGAUUAAUUUGCUGAUAAGUGCAUUAGAACUUGUUGCCGCCCAAUAUGGCUUUAGUUUCUUUUCCUUCAGAUAAUUCGUAAUUGACCAGGGAUUGUAAAUAUCCCGCCUCUGACCAAAAAUAAAUCCAUCAUACCAU
rnacentral:rRNA from 1 species